GAGGAUGUAGCUCAAAGGUAGAGUGCUGGACUCAUAAUCCAGAGGUCGUUGGUUCGAAUCCAACCAUCUUCA